AUUCACAUGGAUGCCGUAUAAAUAGCCCCAUCGAAUGCCAUUCCUUAUCAAUAGAAUUCUAAGACAAGCAUCGUGUGGUUAGUUUUGAAAAAUGAAAUAUUUUCUAGUAUUCGCUUGUGUUUCGUUGCUAUGUUUGGGAAGCGUUUUUGGUGCACCCAGACCAACACUGGAACUCUUGGUUCCUGGUUUAGCGCAAGCAGAGCUAACAGCAAUACAAACGGCAGCCACAGCGAAAGCGACUGUAUUUCAAAAUGUCUUUGCAGCGAAACAAGCUUUCAUAACAAAUUUGGCUAGUGGUGCUGGUCUGGCUGGUCUGGGCAAAUAAAUAUGUGUAAAGUGAACAUCGAAUUAGGAAUAAAUUAUCU